CCUACGGGAGGCAGCAGUAGGGAAUCUUCCACAAUGGGCGAAAGCCUGAUGGAGCAACGCCGCGUGAGUGAUGAAGGCCUUCGGGUUGUAAAACUCUGUCAUUCGGGACGAACCGGAGUCUGAGGAAAUGCAGACUCUCUGACGGUACCGGAGGAGGAAGCCCCGGCUAACUACGUGCCAGCAGCCGCGGUAAUACGUAGGGGGCAAGCGUUGUCCGGAUUCACUGGGCGUAAAGCGCGCGCAGGCGGUGAUGUAAGUCUGAGGUGAAAACCCGAAGCUCAACUUCGGGACUGCCUUGGAUACUGCGUCACUUGAGGAUAGGAGAGGCAAGGGGAAUUCCACGUGUAGCGGUGAAAUGCGUAGAGAUGUGGAGGAACACCUGUGGCGAAGGCGCCUUGCUGGCCUAUUUCUGACGCUGAGGCGCGAAAGCGUGGGGAGCAAACAGGAUUAGAUACCCUGGUAGUCCACGCUGUAAACGAUGAGUGCUAGGUGUAGGUGGGCUCAUACCCAUCUGUGCCGAAGCUAACGCAUUAAGCACNCCGCCGNGGAGGUACGGUCGCGACGACGUAGAACGUACGAAGUAGUAGUUAGACGCGNGAGAGCGACGACGGACGACGACGGAGGGAGGAGG
rnacentral:rRNA from 1 species